rnacentral:rRNA from 1 species
UACGUAGGGGGCUAGCGUUGUCCGGAAUCAUUGGGCGUAAAGAGCGUGUAGGCGGUCCGGUAAGUCCGCUGUGAAAGUCGGGGGCUCAACCCUCGAAUGCCGGUGGAUACUGUCGGGCUAGAGUGCGGAAGAGGCGAGUGGAAUUCCUGGUGUAGCGGUGAAAUGCGCAGAUAUCAGGAGGAACACCGAUGGCGAAGGCAGAUCUCUGGGCCGUAACUGACGCUGAGGAGCGAAAGCGUGGGGAGCGAACAGG